GGAAUCUUCCACAAUGGACGCAAGUCUGAUGGAGCAACGCCGCGUGAGUGAAGAAGAUCUUCGGAUCGUAAAACUCUGUUGUAAGAGAAGAACGUGUGUGAGAGUGGAAAGUUCACACAGUGACGGUAACUUACCAGAAAGGGACGGCUAACUACGUGCCAG
rnacentral:rRNA from 1 species